AGCGAACGCUGGCGGCAGGCCUAACACAUGCAAGUCGAACGGAUCCUUCGGGAUUAGUGGCGGACGGGUGAGUAACACGUGGGAACGUGCCCUUUGGUUCGGAACAACUCAGGGAAACUUGAGCUAAUACCGGUUGUGCCCUUCGGGGGAAAGAUUUAUCGCCAUUGGAGCGGCCCGCGUCUGAUUAGCUAGUUGGUGAGGUAACGGCCCACCAAGGCGACGAUCAGUAGCUGGUCUGAGAGGAUGAUCAGCCACACUGGGACUGAGACACGGCCCAGACUCCUACGGGAGGCAGCAGUGGGGAAUCUUGCGCAAUGGGCGAAAGCCUGACGCAGCCAUGCCGCGUGAAUGAUGAAGGUCUUAGGAUUGUAAAAUUCUUUCAGCGGGGACGAUAAUGACGGUACCCGCAGAAGAAGCUCCGGCUAACUUCGUG
rnacentral:rRNA from 1 species